rnacentral:rRNA from 1 species
GACGUAGGGGGCGAGCGUUGUCCGGAUUUAUUGAGCGUAAAGCGUGCGUAGGCGGCUGCGCAAGUCGGUUGUGAAACCCCGGGGCUCAACCCCGGAACUGCAUCCGAUACUGCGUGGCUAGAGGUAGGUAGGGGAGAUCGGAAUUCCUGGUGUAGCGGUGAAAUGCGCAGAUAUCAGGAAGAACACCCGUGGCGAAAGCGGCUCUCUGGAACGGUACUGACGCUGAGACGCGAAAGCGUGGGGAGCGAACAGG